UUAAGUUCAGCGGGUAGUCCUACCUGAUUUGAGGUCUAGCAUAAAGUAGUUGCCCGAGGGCGGGUUGUGAGCGGGCUCGAGGGGCCGGACGAGACGAAACUUAUUACGUCAAGCCAUAGGCCGAUGAUCCCACUAAGGUCUUUAAGGCGAGCCGUGUGACCGGCAGACGCCCAACUCCAAGUCCACCGCCAGGUCAAGAA
rnacentral:misc_RNA from 1 species